UACGUAGGGUGCAAGCGUUGUCCGGAUUUAUUGGGCGUAAAGCGCGUGUAGGCGGCCACGCAGGUCCGCUGUGAAAACUCGAGGCUCAACCUCGAGCUGUCGGUGGAAACCGCGUGGCUAGAGUCCGGAAGAGGGGACUGGAAUUCCCGGUGUAGCGGUGGAAUGCGCAGAUAUCGGGAGGAACACCCGUGGCGAAGGCGGGUCCCUGGGACGGUACUGACGCUGAGACGCGAAAGCGUGGGGGAGCGAACAGG
rnacentral:rRNA from 1 species